GGUACGACUCGCACAGGACAGACUUGUGUCAUAUCAUAGUGUAUAUAGACCAGUGGUAACCAAAAUGGAAAUGUUCAAGCUGGUUACUUGAACAAGUGAAUCAAAAGAUUUUGCAUUACAAACAGCAUUCCGAAUUUUUGUCUGUGAUGACUUCAUUACAGGAUAUUAAUGCUUUUUUUCCAAGUAUUGGUAUAUCUUACCUUUCCAAGAUCAUGGGAUUUUUCUAUUUUUUUUUAAUUAAUUUUUUUUAUGUAUGUAAAAACCUUUAUUUUCGGGAUUCAAAGGUUGCAAUAUUACUCUUCAGUUUAAGACAAUAAGUAAACUGCCUGCUUUGUUUCACAAGCUUUGGACUUAUUACUUAUGUGAUGGUUUGCGUAGUUACCAUGCUACAUGUACUAUAAAUUUGUCAAUAUUCGUUGAAUACCAAUUUUCGUGGAUUUCAUUGUUAAGUUGAUCCGUGUAAUAAAAUGUUCAUUGAAGUGCAAUUUCCAUUAGCAAUUUUGGUUAAUAGGGUAAUUGGCCACGAAUUUACUUAUUCUUGAUUCUGCGAUUUUCACUUUAUCCACGAAAAUUGAUACCCUUGAAUAUUAAUGAAACCAAAAUAUACGGAUAUCGUAGGUCAGCCCAGUCAACUCCGUUGAGUUGCUUCUCUCAUUGUAGCUAAGUUUCGAUGAUCAAGGAUGAAUCCAAGCCAAGUCUGCAUUUAAAGGACGAAAAGGAUAUCAAUGAGCAAUUUUUCAACUAUUUAUAAUAGUUGUUCAAAUUAAAGUUGAUAUUAGAUUAGCGAAGAAUAAUUUAUUGCACUUAAAGGUGUUUUAAGAAUUAAAGAAAUGUGUAUAUUCAUACACAGGCAGGUCGUUUUCGAAAUAAGAGGAUAAAUACUUAGUGGCUGUAAAUAGAUGACACUAUUUGAACAAAGAUAUCAAAUGUAACCGACUGUUAAUAAAUUAUAAAACUUCAAUGAAUUACUGUCCAUUAACUUUAAUGAUACAUACAUCUACAUGUAUGAUGUUUUAUAAAUUGUAGGUUCUUGUUGUUAGAAUUGAUCCUAGAAAUAAAAUCUGCAUGUC
rnacentral:misc_RNA from 1 species